rnacentral:rRNA from 1 species
UACGAGAGGUCUCAAGCGUUGUUCGGAUUCAUUGGGCGUAAAGGGUGUGUAGGUGGCGCGCUAAGUCGGGUGUGAAAUUUCGGGAGCUUAACUCCGAAACUGCAUUCGAUACUGCGGUGCUUGAGGACUGGAGAGGAGACUGGAAUUCAUGGUGUAGCAGUGAAAUGCGUAGAGAUCAAUGAGGAAGACCAGUGGCGAAGGCGGGUCUCU